GAUGAAGAACGUAGCAAAAUGCGAUACUUGGUGUGAAUUGCAGAAUCCCGUGAACCAUCGAGUUUUUGAACGCAAGUUGCGCCCGAAGCCUAUUGGCCGAGGGCACGUCUGCCUGGGCGUCACGCAUCGCGUCGCCCCCCACAAUUCUCCGUAAAGGGAACAUGUGUUUUGGGGGCGGAUAUUGGUCUCCCGUGCUCAUGGCGUGGUUGGCCGAAAUAGGAGUCCUUUCGAUGGACGCACGAACUAGUGGUGGUCGUAAAAACCCUCGUCUUUUGUUUCGUGCUGUUGCUCGCAAGGUAAACUCUUUAAAAACCCCAAUGUGUCGUCUCUUGACGACGCUUCGACCGCGACCCCAGGUCAGGCGGGACUACCCGCUGAGUUUAAGCAUAUCAAUAAGCGGAGGA
rnacentral:misc_RNA from 1 species